UUCCAUGGGUGUGUAAGGCUCCCAUGGCAGUGCUUACACUAAGGGGGCAGACCCUAAAUCUCAAAGAAUGAGAUUGUAAUUGAGAGAGUUGAAAACAGUUGAGGGAUAGUUUAAGAAGGCAGUUGAAAAAAUUGAAAGAGUUUAAGAAAAUAGUUGAAAGAGUUUGAAAAGUUGAGCGAGUUUGAAAAAUAGUUGAAGGAAUUGAGAGAGAGUUUAAGAAAUUAUUUUAGACUGUCCAGUUUUAGAACAGCAGGGCAUCAAACAAACAGGGGGCAAAAGGUAAAGGGGAAAAAUAAGUAA
rnacentral:lncRNA from 1 species